GGCAUGGUGGCUUAGUGGUUAGCACGUUUGCCUCCAGGGGUGGGGGUUCGAUUCCCGCCUACGCCC